CAAGUAGAUUGCCUUAUCGCUGUUUCGAUUUAUCGAGAUGGAGGAAAGUCCGAACACCGUAGUGUAAUCAUAGUGGUUAACGACCACCAGUCGUGAGGCUAGGAAAAGUGCAACAGAAAGUAUGUACAGGUAAUGCUGUAGUGAAACCGGGUAAACUCUAUGUGGUGCAAUGUCAUGUAAACUAGUGUUUGAGCGUGCACGCGCGAUGCUAGAGGGUAGACAGCUAAAGUUUAUUAGUAAUAAUAAACGCAGAUAAAUGAUAAGGGGCAUUUUUUUAGAAAAAUGUACAGAAUUCGGCUUAUAAAUUUACUUGAUUA
rnacentral:RNase_P_RNA from 1 species